AUGUAUUGUUAAGUACAAUCCACCAUUAAGCCAGAAAAUAGACACACAAAAUGCUGCAGAAAGUACAACAAAUUUAUUCAAGUCAUUGUUAUUUUCAUAAAGAACAAGUAAACAUAACAAAGUACUAAGAAAAGAAUCAUUUCUUAAGUUCAGACGAAAUAGGUCAGCAAAAAAGACACACAUCCACUAGAUGAUCUCUUUAGAAGAAUUCGUUACCUAAUGGCAUCUAAAUGCUGGCGUCGUGCUGAGCCAAAGGAGGAAACGUUGCAUCAUCUAUUUUUUACAACUUACGCAGCUGCUAAAGUGUGGAAAUACUUCCUUGGUCAUGAAGGUAUUAAUGUGGAGGGAAUCAUAUUUCAUCAGGCAGUGACACAGUGUUGGACUGCAUAUGUAAUUCCCAGAAAGCCAACCACCAUGCGAAAGAAAAUGCUAACUCCGAGACUCAGGAGCUAGCUGAGGAUGUUUGGGAGCAUGUAGGAGAGGCUUCUCACAGCUUGUCUUCAGAAAUGAGUGAGACACAUCCAACAGAAACUUUAAUUUCAACCUCUCCUAUUUAAUCUGAUGAACCCAGUCCAUCAUAUUUAUCAAAUGCAAAACCAACUGAUUCUAAUGGUAGUGUUCACAAUCAACUAAACAAUACUUGUGAUGUGCCAAAAGAUGAGGGAGAUGCUUCAUACAUUAGCCAUAAAUGAGGAAAAAACAAAAGAAUCCUCUGAACAUAUUCAGUCUAAUAAUUCAGGAGCAUAAGAAAGUAAUGCUUUGCUGCUUCAUUUUCAAGAUAAUUCUCCAGUAGUACCCAAAGUGCUGAUGAUUCACCUUCUAGUUCUCCUCUCCAAAUGAUAAAACCAGAAUAUAACAAUCAUGUCCAGCCAUCAUAUAACAUUGGUCAGCCCCUAGCAAGUUCAGAAAGCCGGCUAUGCAAAACUUACAUCUUACGAUAAUCAAUUUAAACCAAAUAUUGAUAAGAUUAUAUCAUUGGGAAAACAAAGUAUAAGCAGAUACCUAUAUAGACCCAACAUGGCAUCUCACGAAUAGUGAACCAACUUAAACAGAAUGUUGAUUAUAACAAGAAACUAACACAAAGUUGAAACAUAUAGACUAAUAACAAUCAUGUACAACCAUCAGAUAACAUUGGUCAGCCCCUAGCAAGUUCAGAAAGCCGGCUAUGCAAAACUUACAUCUUACGAUAAUCAAUUUAAACCAAAUAUUGAUAAGAUUUUAUCAUUGGGCAAACAGAGUAUAAGAAGAUACCUAUAUAGACCCAAGAUGGCAUCUCACGAAUAGUGAACCAACUUAAACAGAAUGUUGAUUAUAACAAGAAACUCAAUUUUAUCCAACACAAAGUUGAAACAUAUAAACUUGUAUUUGUAACAUACGUAUGGAAAUCACAACUACACAUACUUUGUAAAAGCAACCAAUAGAUUUAUACAUUAUUUUUCUUAACAUAAAAAAAGAGGGUAAAGUUAUUGUAUGUCAAUUUUAUAUCUAGGCGAUUUAAAGAAAUUUACAAGUCUAUAUUUAGAACUAAAUAUUAUCAUCACUACUACUGUUCACAUACAUUUUUUUCGCUGAAGUUUGGACUUUAUAAGUUUAACACAAAUCCAUCUAUCCAAGAAACUCAGUUUUACCAAAAAUGAAGUUGGACCUUAGACUAAAAAUAAAUAAAUGACAAGAAUUAUUCAUGAUAAAACGUUUGAAGAUCCAGAACAACAAACUUAUACAACAAACCAAUAACACGAACAGAGAACAAUUAGGAUUUGUUACUUGAUAAUAAGUAUAUUGGCUAAAGAAAUGUCCCUGCAGAAUAUGGGUAACAAGUUCCGUUUUAUUAGAAACAUGAACAUGUAUUGUCAUGAUAGGCUGCAAUACGUUAAAAAGAAUAUUAUUGGACAUUAGUUGAAUAUAGAAGUACAGGUAGCAAAAUGAUAAGGAAAAAAUUAAAAAAUGUUCAGAAGUAAUGAGAAACAUAAAGUUACAAAGAAAAAAUUACAAGAAAUUAGAAAAAUAAAAGUAGUACAAAGUAAAAAUUAACCGUUUUGGCACGAUGAUGGAUAAACAGAAAAUAAGCAAAGUACGUUUGAAGACUAGUUGAAGAUCACAACCAAUCAUCAUCCUCGUGUUCAUUAUAUUCUUCCUCAGAAAGGUAUUCAUCAUCAUUAAAGUCAUCAUCAUUUUCAUGAUCAGAUUCUUCCCUAACUUCUAAAUCUACUUCGUAUUCAUUAUUAAUAGAAGGUACUUCACCACUCACUCCAUCAAUAACUUCUCUUUUUAUACUAUGACAUCAUUGUUUGAUUCUGCUUGAAGGCUUGCUUCUUCCCUUUCAACAAAGUCAAAUUAAUUGAUAUGGCCCCGCUUCAUCUUGUUCGGGAAUAUCAUACAAAUUUCGUGGUCUUACCCUUACCACAGCACCACAACAUGCCAUUUCUCACUUUGACCAUGUUUAACAUAAUACACAGCUUGAUCCUGUGAGCCUAAAAUAUAUUGAUCAUUUGUGUAACGGAGUCGUGUCACAUCUACACGUACGAAUCCAUAUUCAUCCCUUUCGUAACCUCUAUUUUGGCUUCGACCUUGGGGAGGAACGUCAAACCAGUUACACUUGAAUAAUAUGACUGAAUAACACAUAUAUUGGAUCUCUAAAAUCUAUCAUAUCUUUUCAUAAUAAUCAACAUUUUCUGUAUGCUUAUCACUCUUUACAACUACACCACUAUUUUGGGUUUUCAAAUAUAAUUCAGAUUCCAUUGUUCGAAACCUAAAGCCAUUUAAGAUAUAUCCUUUAUGGCAAUAAACACGAUUGUCUGGAAAUCUUGCCAAAGCUAACAAUUCAUCGGUAUCUCGACCAUCAUCAUUCUCUCUUAACUGGACCACCUAUAAUAUUUUGUGUGCAAAGUCAAAAACUUUAAUACUUCUUAUGAAAGUAAAAUUAAAAAAUAAUCAUUAGUAAAGAUAAACUAGCCUCAAAUGAUAUAGUUUACCUUUUUUCAAACCACAAAGGAAAUUCUUCUUUGUGUCUCUUGGCUACAUUUCUAUUAUUUUCCUUUGCCAAUAUUUCAAAAUGUUCUCUAUGGAUUGGAAGAUUUAGAAAAAAAAUAAAGAUUCGUUAAAGGUAUUCAUAAAAAGAAAAGGAUGUAACUAAAUGAAAAAGUUAUCUUACUCAAUCCAAGGUCCGACCUCCUCACAAUUUUGGAGGAUAAAAAAUCAGCUUGGUUGAUUUCAAGAUUACUCAAGCUUUUCCAAUCACCCCCUGCUAAUGACUUACCAUGACAACUAAAUAUGGACAAGCCAUUGGGAUUUAUAUUGACACAAUUAAAAUUUCUAUCCUGAUGAUUUUGCUUUGUCUCCACAUCACAAAUAUUUAGAACAAAAUAACAUGCAUUCCUCCGCAAGACAGCCCUCAGCAAUUGAUCCUUUAGGGCGAACUUAGUUGCGUACAUAACCUUUUAACGUGCGUAAAUAUCUAUUAAGCAAAGACAAAUUAGUUUUGUAGCAAAUUUCUUCUGAAAGAAUAAUUCAAAUAAGUUAAAAUUUAACCUUUCAAUGUAAUACAUCCAUCGAUAUUGAACAGGACCACCCACUUUUGCCUCAUUUGCCAAAUGAAUCAUAACAUCAAAGAACGUUGGUAGGAACGCACGUUCUAAUUUACAAAUUGUCAUCCGUAUACUUUUAUCAAGUUUAUCAAACCUUUCCACAUGUAGCUCUUUAGUGCACAAAUCAGUGAAGAAUAAUGACAAUUCAAUUAAGGGAUCAUAUGCAUCAUUUGAAAAAAUUCCUUUGAUGAUAAGAGGAAAAAUACGCUGAAAAAGGACACUGUGGUCAUGACUUUUAAGUCCAAAUAUUCUAGCUUCAUUAACAUUGACACAACGACCAAUGUUAGAAGCAUAAGCAUCAGGAAACUUGACUUCUUUAACGAGUUGACAAAAUUGAAUUUUCUCAUCUUUAGACAUUGUAUAGCUUGCUGGAGGUAGUAUGUACUUACCCCCACUUUUUACUGGAUGAAGGGGCUUUUUGAUUUUCAUCUCUUGUAUGUCCAAUCGAGAUUUCAAUGUGUCCUUUUUCCCUUCAAUAUCCAAUAGAGUUCCUAUCACACUUUCACUAAUGUUCUUUUCAAUAUGCAUCACAUCCAAAUUAUGUCUCAACAACAAAGUCCUCCAAUAUGGGAGUUGUUCAAAGAAUAUACUUUUCUUCUUCCAAUUGUCACAUCUUUCAACAUUUAUUUUUCUUUUUCUUGUGUUUCCACCAACUAAUCCUUGUGAAGAUGUAUUAAGUUGUGAAAGAACAUCAUCUCCAUUCAAAGCUUGUGGUGCAAGUCUUUCUUCCUUUGUAUAAUCAAAGGAACUUUUAUUCCGACGAUAAGGAUGAUUUAUCUCCAAGAACCUACGAUGGCCCAUAUAGCAAUGUUUUAGACCAUGUUUCAAGUAUAGGGAACAAGUAUGUACAUGGCAAACUGGACAAGCUAAUUUACCUUUGGUGCUCCAACUAGAUAACAUAUCAUAUGCUGGAAAGUCAUUAAUCGUCCACAACAAAGCAGCACGCAAGUGAAAAAUUUGUUUCUUAAAAGCAUCAUAAGUCUCGAUUCCACUCUCCCAUAAGGGUUUUAAAUCACCAAUCAAGAUUGGAGGUAUACGUCAAUAUUCAUACCAUGACUUUUUGGUCCAGGAAUAAGUAAGGAUAACAAAAUAUUAGAUUGUUUCAUGCAUAUCCAUGGGGGAGAUGAUAUGGAAUUAAAACUAUUGGCCACAUGCUAUAGACAUUACUCAUCGAACCAAAAGGAUUAAAACCAUCUGAAGCAAGACCAAAUCUUACAUUACGUGAAUCUGAAGCAAAACUUGAAUGUUUUUCAUCAAAAGUUUUCCAUGCCAAUGCGUCAGCUGGAUGUCUUAAUAAUCCAUUAUCAACUAUCUUAUUUGUAUGCCAUGUCAUAUUUUUCGCGGUUUGUUUUGUCAUAAAUAAUCGUUUUAAUCGUGGUAUCAAAGGAAAGUAUCUAAGAAUAUUUCUAGGAAUUCUUUUAUUUCUCUUAUUCAAUUUUCUUAAAGUAACUUCAUCAUCAAUUUCUUUUCCUUUCCUUACUAUCUAUCUUUUUUCACUACAUAUAAGGCAUUGCUCAAGAUCAACAUAUUCCUUUCUAUAUAAAAUGCAAUUAUUAAUACAUGUGUCUAUCUUCACAUAAUCUAGAGCAAAAUCUUUUAUGAUCGUUUUGAACUUCAUAAAUAGAAUUAGGGAGCACAUUUUCUUUGGGAAGAGCAUCCCUCAAUAAUUUUAACUAAGAGUCAAAAGAAGUAUUACUCCAGCCAUGUAGGCGCUUCAUCUAAAAAAGACGCAUUACAAACGAUAGUUUGGAGAACUUUUCACAAUUUGGAUAUAACUUUUGCUCUGCAUCCUUUAAUAAUCUAUAGAAACUUUUAGCUUCUGUAUUUGGCUCUUCGUACCUAGGCUCAGUAGUCUCAUCAAACUCACGACUAUUGGAGGGAAUACCACGAUACAUGUCAUGCAACAUUUCAAAAGUACGCGCAUCAUCAUUCUCUAAAUUUGAAUCUGUAUUGGAAUUUGUUUCAUCAUCUGAAGAUGAAUCCGACUCACCAUGAUAAAUUCACCUAUGAUCGGAUCUAUUCCCCACCUAAGUAAAUUUGUCUUAACCUCAUCGCGUGAUUUUCUAAGCACAUUAUUACAUUUAAUGCACGGACAUUGAAUUCUUACACCAACCUCAGGAUUAGAAAAUCCAAAGUUCAAAAAAUAUUCCACACCAUUCAAGUAUUUUGGUAAUGUCCUAUUCAUAAUAAGUAGCCAAUUCUUAUCCAUCAUAUACUAACCUACAAAAAAAUAUAAAACAAUAACUGUAAAUUAUAUAAUGAAAAUUGUAAAACAUUAUAUUUUAACUUUUUUUCAUAAGUUCACAACUACAUAAAGCCGGAAAUUCACAGGAAAAGGAAAGGAAAAAAUAAUGCAAUAUACUCUAUCAAGUAACAUAUAAAAGCAACAUACGUCAAAGAAUCACAUAUAACAAAAGUCACUCAAUUGGCCUCGCCUAAACAUAUAACAUACAACAAGUAGAUAAUAAAGCAAAUGAUGUUCCAUAUAGUCUAGCUCACUAUUCAAGAUAUGUUAAAUCAUAUAAUAGAUUCUAAAUGCUAUCAAAUGCCAACCAACAACAGAAGCCAAUCAAUAAUCUAAUGAAUAGAACCAAAAGUCCUAAUGGCCAAAAGCAAAAUAUAGUGCUUCUUCCCUGAUGUUCUCCUCAAAUAUAACAACCAAAUAAUGGUUGUAUUUCGUAAUGACUGUAGUAGAAGCCAUUGAUUUUCUUUUCAUCUUCUACAAUUCUCAGCCAAUGUGUAAUAUCUGCGUGUUAGCUUGGGUUUGUACACAAGAGUUUCUGUUCUGCUUGUCAUACAAUCACCGCUGCCACCAGUAGCAGUAACAAUUGCAGUAGCCAUUGAAACAACAGGGGAAUAGGCUAAUUCAACCGUAAAUCUAGUGGGAUCAACAAUUUCUAAAGGUGGAACUUGGUAGGAUGUCGUAGUCACACUCCCCCACCCCAACUUGAACUACCCCUACGUACCACAGCCCUCACCACCGCCAGAAGAGCUCGUUUACGAUGAUUAAAAUAAAACAAGAGACUGAACAAUAUUAAAAGAAAAAUUUAUGCAUAAUUGCUUUUUAAAGCAUAAGAAAUUAGAGAAGAAAUAGUUCCAAUCCUAGUCUAGCAUAGAAAAAAUUUAGAUACUCAUACCCAAUUAAGUACUUAUAACUACAUAAUUUGAUAAUUCAAUAAUUUAGUGGAGAAGCAAUCGGUAAAGAAAUUGAAGAUGGAGUUCUUACCGGUUCUUCUCCGAUUAGCAGCAACAACACACAACAAGAAGGCAACAGAAGAGUGGCUCUUUCAAGUAGAACUGAUAAGAAAACCCUAGCAAGAAUGGUUACUAGAGAUUGGGGUAAAAGUCCGGAAAAUUAUAUUUUACGCGAAAU
rnacentral:lncRNA from 1 species